UACGUAGGGUGCGAGCGUUGUCCGGAAUUAUUGGGCGUAAAGAGCUUGUAGGCGGUUUGUCGCGUCUGCUGUGAAAAUCCGGGGCUCAACCCCGGACUUGCAGUGGGUACGGGCAGACUGGAGUGUGGUAGGGGAGACUGGAAUUCCUGGUGUAGCGGUGAAAUGCGCAGAUAUCAGGAGGAACACCGAUGGCGAAGGCAGGUCUCUGGGCCACUACUGACGCUGAGAAGCGAAAGCAUGGGGAGCGAACAGG
rnacentral:rRNA from 1 species